AGAACGAACGCUGGCGGCAGGCUUAACACAUGCAAGUCGAACGCGUGUAGCAAUACACGAGUGGCGCACGGGUGAGUAACGCGUGGAUAUCUGCCUUUUGGUUCGGAAUAACCCCGGGAAACUGGGGCUAAUACCGGAUGGUUCCUACGGGAUAAAGAUUUAUCGCCAAAAGAUGAGUCCGCGUCCGAUUAGCUAGUUGGUGGGGUAAUGGCCUACCAAGGCGACGAUCGGUAGCUGGUCUGAGAGGAUGACCAGCAUCACUGGGACUGAGACACGGCCCAGACUCCUACGGGAGGCAGCAGUGGGGAAUAUUGGACAAUGGGCGCAAGCCUGAUCCAGCCAUGCCGCGUGGAUGAUGAAGGCCUUAGGGUUGUAAAGUCCUUUUAACGGGGAAGAUAAUGACGGUACCCGUAGAAUAAGCCCCGGCUAACUUCGUGCCAGCAGCCGC
rnacentral:rRNA from 1 species